rnacentral:rRNA from 1 species
ACCAGCAGCCAAAUCACCCUGCAACUCACAACUGGCAACCCACUGAAGCUCAGUGGGUGUGAGCCUGGUCAGUACCUGGAUGGGAGACCUCCUGGGAAAAACUAAGGUUGCUGCUGGAA